rnacentral:lncRNA from 1 species
UUCGCACCCUGGGGUACUACAGUUACAUAUUUACUGUUUACAAGGUAAUUUUGCCUAAUUAAAAAAAAAAAUUAAAAAAUGAAAUAAUCACACAAACCCAGCACUCAAACCUGCAUCUUGUCCCGUUGAUUCAGGGAUGUGCCUUAUGUGCCUUGAGGCAGACCAAGCAAAACAAUGCUGCACAGAAGACAUUGCAGACCAAGGCAGUAGUUGCUCAAAUUUAUUUUCUUUUAAAAAAUGUGCGUGAAAGGAGAUGGGGGAGGGCGGAAGGGAAUAUUUAUCAGAAUACCAGAAGACACCUUUCUUGAAACAAAGGCAAGGGGAAUCAUCUCUAUUGCAAAUCUAUCAAGCAGAGAGCAAAUAACAAUAUUUAUAGUCGGACAUUCACAAAUACAAUGUGCUUAAAUAACAACAAAUGCUUACUACAGUUGCUACAGCGUAGCUUAAUAAAAAUUAGCCUUACUUGACAGUCUUGUCAACAUCUUAAGUAAAUUAUCAUAGCGAUGGUCUUUGGAGAAGAAAACCCACACUCCUUGCUAAAACACCUCCUAUCAUUAAUCUUAAACCACUUGAAGAUUAUGAUGGAAAGAAUGGGAUCAGUAACCAUUAUCAUCUCAAAUUGCUGUUAAAAACUCCGCUGUUUAUUUUUGCAACAAAAGCGAAUGUAUCUGGGAAAUGCAGAAAGGGGAAGAAAGGAAAACACAAGAAAGGCAGAACAAUUGAGGCGAAUCCUGUUGCAACCUCGAUGAUAAACACAUGGAAAAAGCUGUUACUGCUCUGCGGAUUGCUGGAAUUUGGGUAGACGUUAGAAAAAUAAACAAAGUGAUGACUCCGCACCAGGUCUGUAAAUGCACUGCUACACUCAAAAAAAACCAAACAAAAAAAAGGCAGCAAAAUGCUGGGUUUAGAAGACUGCGAGCCAGUUUCCUGCAUACUACUAUAAUUAAUUUGCGUGCGGAGAUCAAAGAUCCGAGGGUGAAGGAAAUAAUUGAUUCUGCCAGAAAACGCUUCCCUGGCGCAGCCCACGGCAGGUAAGCUGCUGCGUGGAACUAUUUUUGACGGAACAAAAGCCUGAGCAAACACCUGACGUCAGGGAGCAGCGUUCCCGGGGGAG